rnacentral:rRNA from 1 species
CAAGUCGCGUGCGCAGUUCCCGUAGCAAUACGGGGAUGGGCGCACGGCGCACGGGUGCGUAACACGUGGGCAAUCUGCCCUCCGAUGGGGAAUAACCCCGCGAAAGCGGGGCUAAUUCCGCAUAACAUUCCGGGGACCUCGGUUCCUGGAUUCAAAGCAGUGAUGCGUCGGAGGAGGAGCCCGCGCCCGAUUAGCUAGUUGGUGAGGUAACGGCUCACCAAGGCAAUGAUCGGUAGCUGGUCUGAGAGGAUGGCCAGCCACACUGGAACUGAGACACGGUCCAGACUCCUACGGGAGGCAGCAGUGGGGAAUCUUGCGCAAUGGGCGAAAGCCUGACGCAGCGACGCCGCGUGGGGGAUGAAGCUUCUCGGAGUGUAAACCCCUUUCGACUGGGACGAAUGCCCGCAAGGGAGUGACGGUACCAGUAGAAGAAGCCCCGGCUAACUACGUGCCAGCAGCCGCGGUAAGACGUAGGGGGCCAGCGUUGUUCGGAAUUACUGGGUGUAAAGGGUUCGUAGGCGGUGUGGCAAGUUGGGAGUGAAAUCUCUGGGCUUAACCCANAGGCUGCUUCCAAAACUGCUGUGCUUGAGUGUGGGAGAGGCGCGUGGAAUUGCAGGUGUAGCGGUGAAAUGCGUAGAUAUCUGCAGGAACACCCGUGGCGAAAGCGGCGCGCUGGACCACAACUGACGCUGAGGAACGAAAGCUAGGGGAGCAAACAGGAUUAGAUACCCUGGUAGUCCUAGCCCUAAACGAUCAGGACUUGGGGUGCCGCCCGUUCGGGCGUCGUCCCGGAGCUAACGCGUUAAGUCCUGCACCUGGGGAGUACGGUCGCAAGACUGAAACUCAAAGGAAUUGACGGGGGCCC